rnacentral:rRNA from 1 species
ACGCAAUAGAUACCCCGGUAGUCCAUGCCGUAAACGUUGGGCACUAGGUGUGGGGGACAUUCCACGUUUUCCGCGCCGUAGCUAAACGCAUUAAGUGCCCCGCCUGGGGAGUACGGCCGCAAGGCUAAAACUCAAAGGAAUUGACGGGGGCCCGCACAAGCGGCGGAGCAUGCGGAUUAAUUCGAUGCAACGCGAAGAACCUUACCAAGGCUUGACAUGAACCGGAAACGUCUGGAAACAGGCGCCCCACUUGUGGUCGGUUUACAGGUGGUGCAUGGUUGUCGUCAGCUCGUGUCGUGAGAUGUUGGGUUAAGUCCCGCAACGAGCGCAACCCUCGUUCCAUGUUGCCAGCGCGUUAGGGCGGGGACUCAUGGGAGACUGCCGGGGUCAACUCGGAGGAAGGUGGGGACGACGUCAAAUCAUCAUGCCCCUUAUGUCUUGGGCUUCACGCAUGCUACAAUGGCCGGUACAAGGGUUGCGAUACUGUGAGGUGGAGCUAAUCCCAAAAAGCCGGUCUCAGUUCGGAUUGGGGGUCUGCAACUCGACCCCAUGAAGUC